AUACGUAGGUGGCAAGCGUUGUCCGGAAUUAUUGGGCGUAAAGCGCGCGCAGGUGGUUCCUUAAGUCUGAUGUGAAAGCCCCCGGCUCAACCGGGGAGGGUCAUUGGAAACUGGGGAACUUGAGUGCAGAAGAGGAUAGUGGAAUUCCAAGUGUAGCGGUGAAAUGCGUAGAGAUUUGGAGGAACACCAGUGGCGAAGGCGACUGUCUGGUCAGUAGCGGACACUGAGGCGCGAAAGCGUGGGGAGCAAACAGGAUUAGAUACCCUGGUGGUCCACGCCGUAAACGAUGAGUGCUAAGUGUUGGGGGGUUUCCGCCCCUCAGUGCUGCAGCUAACGCAUUAAGCACUCCGCCUGGGGAGUACGGUCGCAAGACUGAAACUCAAAUGAAUUGGCGGGG
rnacentral:rRNA from 1 species